GGGUUCACACUGUCUUGAUCUCUACCCAGCAUGACGAAACUGUGACAAACGAGAAGAUCGCCAUCGACUUGAAAGAGCAUGUCAUCAAGCCUAUAAUCCCUGCUCAGUACCUUGAUGACAAAACUAUCUUCCACCUGAACCCAUCUGGCAGAUUUGUGAUUGGUGGCCCACACGGAGAUGCUGGUCUGACGGGUAGGAAGAUCAUUAUCGACACCUAUGGUGGCUGGGGUGCUC
rnacentral:lncRNA from 1 species